UACGAAGGGUGCAAACGUUGCUCGGAAUUAUUGGGCGUAAAGCGCUCGUAGGCGGCUUAGCAAGUCGGAUGUGAAAGCCCACGGCUCAACCGUGGAGGGUCAUUGGAAACUGGGGAACUUGAGUACAGAAGAGGAAAGCGGAAUUCCACGUGUAGCGGUGAAAUGCGUAGAGAUGUGGAGGAACACCAGUGGCGAAGGCGGCUUUCUGGUCUGUAACUGACGCUGAGGCGCGAAAGCGUGGGGAGCAAACAGG
rnacentral:rRNA from 1 species